rnacentral:rRNA from 1 species
AUGAACGCUAGCUACAGGCUUAACACAUGCAAGUCGAGGGGCAGCAUGGUCUUAGCUUGCUAAGACUGAUGGCGACCGGCGCACGGGUGAGUAACACGUAUCCAACCUGCCGUCUACUCUUGGACAGCCUUCUGAAAGGAAGAUUAAUACAAGAUGGCAUCAUGAGUCCGCAUGUUCACAUGAUUAAAGGUAUUCCGGUAGACGAUGGGGAUGCGUUCCAUUAGAUAGUAGGCGGGGUAACGGCCCACCUAGUCUUCGAUGGAUAGGGGUUCUGAGAGGAAGGUCCCCCACAUUGGAACUGAGACACGGUCCAAACUCCUACGGGAGGCAGCAGUGAGGAAUAUUGGUCAAUGGGCGAGAGCCUGAACCAGCCAAGUAGCGUGAAGGAUGACUGCCCUAUGGGUUGUAAACUUCUUUUAUAAAGGAAUAAAGUCGGGUAUGGAUACCCGUUUGCAUGUACUUUAUGAAUAAGGAUCGGCUAACUCCGUGCCAGCAGCCGCGGUAAUACGGAGGAUCCGAGCGUUAUCCGGAUUUAUUGGGUUUAAAGGGAGCGUAGAUGGAUGUUUAAGUCAGUUGUGAAAGUUUGCGGCUCAACCGUAAAAUUGCAGUUGAUACUGGAUAUCUUGAGUGCAGUUGAGGCAGGCGGAAUUCGUGGUGUAGCGGUGAAAUGCUUAGAUAUCACGAAGAACUCCGAUUGCGAAGGCAGCCUGCUAAGCUGCAACUGACAUUGAGGCUCGAAAGUGUGGGUAUCAAACAGGAUUAGAUACCCUGGUAGUCCACACGGUAAACGAUGAAUACUCGCUGUUUGCGAUAUACUGCAAGCGGCCAAGCGAAAGCGUUAAGUAUUCCACCUGGGGAGUACGCCGGCAACGGUGAAACUCAAAGGAAUUGACGGGGGCCCGCACAAGCGGAGGAACAUGUGGUUUAAUUCGAUGAUACGCGAGGAACCUUACCCGGGCUUAAAUUGCAGAUGAAUUACGGUGAAAGCCGUAAGCCGCAAGGCAUCUGUGAAGGUGCUGCAUGGUUGUCGUCAGCUCGUGCCGUGAGGUGUCGGCUUAAGUGCCAUAACGAGCGCAACCCUUGUUGUCAGUUACUAACAGGUUCCGCUGAGGACUCUGACAAGACUGCCAUCGUAAGAUGUGAGGAAGGUGGGGAUGACGUCAAAUCAGCACGGCCCUUACGUCCGGGGCUACACACGUGUUACAAUGGGGGGUACAGAGGGCCGCUUCCACGCGAGUGGAUGCCAAUCCCCAAAACCUCUCUCAGUUCGGACUGGAGUCUGCAACCCGACUCCAUGAAGCUGGAUUCGCUAGUAAUCGCGCAUCAGCCACGGCGCGGUGAAUACGUUCCCGGGCCUUGUACACACCGCCCGUCAAGCCAUGGGAGCCGGGGGUACCUGAAGUGCGUAACCGCGAGGAGCGCCCUAGGGUAAAACUGGUGACUGGGGCU